UACGGAGGGUGCAAGCGUUAUCCGGAUUUACUGGGUUUAAAGGGUGCGUAGGCGGGCCCUUAAGUCAGUGGUGAAAGCUCCGAGCUUAACUCGGAAACUGCCAUUGAUACUAUAGGUCUUGAAUUCGGUCGAGGUUGGCGGAAUGUGUCGCGUAGCGGUGAAAUGCUUAGAUAUGACACAGAACACCGAUUGCGAAGGCAGCUAGCUAGACCGACAUUGACGCUGAGGCACGAAAGCAUGGGGAUCAAACAGG
rnacentral:rRNA from 1 species